rnacentral:misc_RNA from 1 species
UCUCCGUAGGUGAACCUGCGGAAGGAUCAUUACUGAGUGAGGGCCCUCUGGGUCCAACCUCCCACCCGUGUUUAUUAUACCUUGUUGCUUCGGUGAGCCCGCCUCACGGCCGCCGGGGGGCAUCUGCCCCCGGGCCCGCGCCCACCGAAGACACCUAGAACUCUGUAUGAAGAUUGCAGUCUGAGCAAAAACUAAAUAAGUUAAAACUUUCAACAACGGAUCUCUUGGUUCCG